AAAAGACUGUGAUGGUAAAUGGACUCACCAUCACUGCCAGUAUUGCACUCAAGAGGGAUAAGACUGGUAGGCUAAUGGUCAGCACUGUCAACUGUGUGGCCAACGUGGGCAGUGCCAGCAUCAAGUUCCACGGUGGGGCCAGCAGGCUGGACAAUCUUUUCACGUCCUACACUGACAAGGCCUUGCAUAGUGCUCAGCAGAAACAGAUCUGCCCCCUAGUGGCUGAUGUUAUUACUGACAUGAACCCACACCUCAAAACGUUCAAUGAUUUGGAGUCACUAAGACAAGAGGCUAGAGGUAAAACCUCUAUCGCUCUCUCUCCCUUUCUCUUUCCACCUCUCUCUCCCUCGCUCUCUCCUUUCAUAUUUUUCUCCCUCCCUCCCUCCCUCCUUCCGUCUGUCUGUCUGUCUGU